rnacentral:rRNA from 1 species
AUUCGUAGGGAGCGAGCGUUGUCCGGAAUUACUGGGCGUAAAGGGCGCGUAGGCGGCGCUUCAAGUCGUCUGUCAAAUGGGAGGGCUUAACCCUUUUUCGCAGACGAAACUGGAGAGCUUGAGAAGCAGAGAGGCAAACAGAAUUCCUGGUGUAGCGGUGAAAUGCGUAGAUAUCAGGAAGAACACCGGUGGCGAAGGCGGUCUGCUAGCUAUGAACUGACGCUGAAGCGCGAAAGCCAGGGGAGCAAACGGGAUUAGAUACCCCGGUAGUCCUGGCAGUAAACGAUGUAUGCUGGGUGUGGGCGUAGCGAUACGUCCGUGCCGAAGUUAACGCGAUAAGCAUACCGCCUGGGGAGUACGGUCGCAAGAUUGAAACUCAAAUGAAUUGGCGGGG